UGGCUGUCUCUUGAUCCCCGCUCCUCUUUUUUCUUGCCUUUUUAAUUCUUUGUGGUUACUGUCAGAAUUUUAUAAGCAAGCCAUUUGAACUACCAAUAUAUCUCUUUAAUUAAGCAUUGGUAGUGCUUUUGUGAAUUUUCAAGAUAGAUCAAAACUGCUACUAUUUGGCAAUCAAAUUUAUGCUCACUUGUUUGGUUUUCGUUACUCUUUGACUAUGAUGAUGAUUAAGGAGGCAAAC
rnacentral:lncRNA from 1 species